GACGAACGCUGGCGGCGUGCUUAACACAUGCAAGUCGAACGAUGAAGCCGGAGCUUGCUCUGGUGAAUUAGUGGCGAACGGGUGAGUAACACGUGAGUAACCUGCCCUUGACUCUGGGAUAACUGCUAGAAAUGGUAGCUAAUACCGGAUACGACCCUCGGAGGCAUCUCCAGGGGGUGGAAAGAAUUUCGGUCAAGGAUGGACUCGCGGCCUAUCAGCUAGUUGGUGAGGUAACGGCUCACCAAGGCGACGACGGGUAGCCGGCCUGAGAGGGUGACCGGCCACACGGGGACUGAGACACGGCCCAGACUCCUACGGGAGGCAGCGGUGGGGAAUAUUGCACAAUGGGCGCAAGCCUGAUGCAGCAACGCCGCGUGAGGGAUGACGGCCUUCGGGUUGUAAACCUCUUUUAGUAGGGAAGAAGCGAAAGUGACGGUACCUGCGGAAGAAGCACCGGCUAACUACGUGCCAGCCGCCGCGGUAA
rnacentral:rRNA from 1 species